UCUUUGGCCCAGUGGUUAGAGCGCUGGCUUAUAGAUUGAAAGGUUGAUGGUUCAAAACCAGCCUCAGAGAG